rnacentral:rRNA from 1 species
CACGUAGGGCGCAAGCGUUGUCCGGAAUUAUUGGGCGUAAAGAGCUCGUAGGCGGUUUGUCGCGUCUGCUGUGAAAACUCGGGGCUUAACCCCGGGCCUGCAGUGGGUACGGGCAGACUAGAGUGCGGUAGGGGAGACUGGAAUUCCUGGUGUAGCGGUGAAAUGCGCAGAUAUCAGGAGGAACACCGGUGGCGAAGGCAGCUCUCUGGUACAUGAUUGACGCUGAGACGCGAAAGCGUGGGGAGCGAACAGG